GAAAGUUUCUGUGAUUUGAAAUUACUAUUGUUCUCUGAAUAGGUUUUAGAUCUAAAUUUGACUAUUGAGAUCCUGGAAGAACAUAGGCUUGUGAUGAUCAUCUUUUCGUACUUUUGACCAAAAACUGUUUAUUAUUAAUGGUUAUUUUUUUAUUAGUGAGUAACUAGAAAGUAAUAGUAUAAUGGAUGAUUGUUAUGUGAAAUAGGUAAGUGGUGAAUGUGAAAAGGGGGAGUAGGUAGGUGAGAUGAUAUAAUAAAGAAAUAGGUUAAAAGAAAGAGAAAGAUGAAUGUGAGAAUGGUGAUAUUCCUUAUUUGUAUAAGGAACUAGAAUAGGACGAAAAGGGAUGGUUGAGAGGAAACAGUUAUACUUAAAGGUAUACUAAUUGGUAAGUAUGCAUUUGUAGGGUGAAUUGGACAUGCAAUCACUUUCAAAAGUGUGCCAAAGUACCAUAUUUUCUAUAUUCUUUUGGGUCACUUUCUUUCUUCCAUUUUAGUUACAUGCCCUUGUUUCCCUUCUCCCAACCAUUCUACAAAUUAAAUUUAACUCAUUUUCUAUACUCCUUAUUUUAAUCUCACAUCAUCAUUCAUCCAAUCAAAUAAGGCCCAUAACCACUAAUCCAGCCCAUCAAAACAAUAAUACAAAAUGGCCAAGUUAGGUGAAAAUUGAAAAUUUACUGAAUCGGAUAAAAAUAUUUAGUAAACUCAAUUAUUGUUGGACUAAACCCCUGUUAAUUUGGUUAAAAAAAUUGGGUGUUGCUCCCUACACCUCCCCAAGUGGGAUCUAUACCUCUCUAGUAUUUUAAUUUAUUUCAAAAAUAUUUUACACCUUCUCACUAUUUUCUUUUAUUCCAAAAAUACCCUACACCUUCCCACUAUCUUUAACAAUUUUUUUCUUUCUCUCUCUACAUUAAUGGAGCAUUUACAUGACUCAUUAAUUGAGCAUUUA
rnacentral:lncRNA from 1 species